GAAACGCGAUAGUUAAUGUGAAUUGCAGAAUUCAGUGAAUCAUCGAGUCUUUGAACGCACAUUGCGCCCAUAGGUAUUCCUUUGGGCAUGUCUGUUUGAGCGUCAUUACAACCCUCAUCUAAUCGCUGGUUUUGAACCUGAACGGGUGACACCGCGCCGGUUUUAAAGUUGUAAGCUCUGCUGGCCGCUCUGCCCAACCAGAACAUAGUAAGCACUACUUGUCCGGGUGAAGCUGAACGGUACGGCCUGAACAAAACCUACCCACUCUCAAGGUUUGACCUCAGAUCAGACAAGGAUACCCGCUGAACUUAAGC
rnacentral:misc_RNA from 1 species